CAAAUUAGAACUUGAAUAAGUAUUUUAUUUACAUUAAAAAAAUGAUUGUUUUAAAUCAAUUUAAUUUGA
rnacentral:tRNA from 1 species